GCAGUCGAACGAUGAAGCCCAGCUUGCUGGGUGGAUUAGUGGCGAACGGGUGAGUAACACGUGAGCAACCUGCCCCUGACUCUGGGAUAAGCGCUGGAAACGGCGUCUAAUACUGGAUAUGUCCCGUCACCGCAUGGUGUGCGGGUGGAAAGAUUUUUCGGUUGGGGAUGGGCUCGCGGCCUAUCAGCUUGUUGGUGAGGUAAUGGCUCACCAAGGCGUCGACGGGUAGCCGGCCUGAGAGGGUGACCGGCCACACUGGGACUGAGACACGGCCCAGACUCCUACGGGAGGCAGCAGUGGGGAAUAUUGCACAAUGGGCGGAAGCCUGAUGCAGCAACGCCGCGUGAGGGAUGACGGCCUUCGGGUUGUAAACCUCUUUUAGCAGGGAAGAAGCGAGAGUGACGGUACCUGCAGAAAAAGCACCGGCUAACUACGUGCCAGCAGCCGCGGUAAUACGUAGGGUGCAAGCGUUAUCCGGAAUUAUUGGGCGUAAAGAGCUCGUAGGCGGUCUGUCGCGUCUGCUGUGAAAUCCCGAGGCUCAACCUCGGGCUUGCAGUGGGUACGGGCAGACUAUAGUGCGGUAGGGGAGAUUGGAAUUCCUGGUGUAGCGGUGGAAUGCGCAGAUAUCAUGAGGAACACCGAUGGCGAAGGCAGAUCUCUGGGCCGUAACUGACGCUGAGGAGCGAAAGGGUGGGGAGCAAACAGGCUUAGAUACCCUGGUAGUCCACCCCGUAAACGUUGGGAACUAGUUGUGGGGUCCUUUCCACGGAUUCCGUGACGCAUCUAACGCAUUAAGUUCCCCGCCUGGUGAGUACGGCCGCAAGGCUAAGACUCAUAGGAAUUGACGGGGACCCGCACAAGCGGCGGAGCAUGCGGAUUAAUUCGAUGCAACGCGAAGAACCUUACCAAGGCUUGACAUACACGAGAACGGG
rnacentral:rRNA from 2 species